CCUACGGGCGGCUGCAGUAAGGAAUAUUGGUCAAUGGACGAAAGUCUGAACCAGCCAUGCCGCGUGGAGGAUGAAGGUCCUCUGGAUUGUAAACUUCUUUUAUAUGGGACGAAAAAAGGCUUUUCUAGGUCGUCUGACGGUACCAUAUGAAUAAGCACCGGCUAACUCCGUGCCAGCAGCCGCGGUAAUACGGAGGGUGCAAGCGUUAUCCGGAUUCACUGGGUGUAGAGGGUUCGGUGAGGCAUUGGUAAAAUCCCCGUGCUUAACUUGGGAACUGCCAUUGAUACUAUCAGUCUUGAAUACCGUGGAGGUCAGCGGAAUAUGUCAUGUAGCGGUGAAAUGCUUAGAUAUGACAUAGAACACCAAUUGCGAAGGCAGCUGGCUACCCGAAUAUUGACACUGAGGCACGAAAGCGUGGGGAUCAAACAGGAUUAGAUACCCCAGUAGUC
rnacentral:rRNA from 1 species